CAUGCAGAUGGUUUGACAAGUCGGAUGUGAAAGCCCCGGGCUUAACCUGGGAACGGCACUCGAAACUGUCAGACUAGAAUGUGGAAGAGGGAAGUGGAAUUCCGGGUGUAGCAGUGAAAUGCGUAGAUAUCCGGAGGAACAUCAGUGGCGAAGGCGACUUCCUGGUCCAACAUUGACAUUCAGAUGCGAAAGCGUGGGGAGCAAACA
rnacentral:rRNA from 1 species